AGAAAAUCCUCUCAAACCUGGAUUGAUCAGCUGCUCAACCAACUGACCAGUUGACUAGUCUGUUCUUCAGUAAAGGUGUCAACACAAAGCUGAAGUCAUCCCUUUACAAAGAUGUAGGAAACUAAAGGACAGAUUGGGAAGCCGUGAUGGCGGCACAGAAGUUGAGGGAGAAGCUAUUUAUCCCAGACGGAUCAGGAGGUGUGUGACGGAGGUGUGGACGGUUGCUGCAGGUGCCUGUCCUGUGCAGAUUGCUGACUGGCUUCCAGGAGAUAACACAUCAGCUUCAACGCCCAUCCACAAACGCUGUCACCAUGGUGCCCACAGAUGGUAACUUCCUGUGGUCCUGCCCAGUGAUUGGUGGAGAGACUUCCAAACAGAGAACAGCUGGUGAGGGAUGAUAUAUCACCGAGCGUUUGCACUUUCAUUUUCAGGGUUGUCUUGUUAAUGCUCCCAAUCCAGCAUCUGGCAGGAAAUAGACACAAAGGCAGAGAGAGGGAGAGAACAACCUGUUCUUUGGCAGACCUUAACAAAAGGCUGACACAUGUCUGAUGAACAGACAGAACAGAUAGAGCUGCCUCGAAUAUGAAGGAAAGACGCUUGACGCAAGUAAAACAAACAGUAGAUAAGAGGAUGUGAACAUUUUCUACAAAGGUCAUUGUUAAGAGCAGAAAAUGAUAAAUACGCCUCUUAAGGUAAAAAAAAAGCAUUCAAAAAAGUUAUUGUAUGACUCCUUAUUAAUUAGGAAAUGCUAACAAUGUCCCAAAUGGCAUCAAUUUUUCAUAGUUUUGCUCAGCUCCAUUUACGAUUGAAUAUCUCCAUGAAAUAGUAAAAAUGAACACUCACAAGGGAAAAUACAUUUUUGUUAUUUUGUUGCAAUGCACUUGUGGCUUUCAGUUGUUAUGUUUAAGAUGUUCAAUUAUUAUGUUUCAUAUCUACUUUUUUGCAAACUGAUUUAGAAAUGAUAACCUCUUGUUUAACUGUUGGUGAUGAUUUGUGUAUUAUAUCUUGUGCUGUAGGUCCCAGUGUUUACAGGAAGGAGAACUCUAUACUUUCAACACCAGAGGGAGACAUUUCACAAACCAGCGGGCCACAAGACUUCUUCAUGGUAUGUUUGAAAUAUUUCAGAAUGUAAGUGUGAAUGAAUGAAGAGAGUAAAAUCACAAAAAACAACAACCUUUAAUACCUGGUGUCACAGUGUUAGUGGAACUGUAAGAUAUACUGAGAUGCUGAUUCUAAAGUUGUACAGAACUGAUCCAAAUAUGCCAUUUUACAAUGCUGAUUUCUUUGUAAUCACCCAGGGUCAAUUAACUUUCAAUUACUGAUUGAACUGGAGACUCAAAGCCUCUGUGUUUAGAAAUGGUAAACAAACAGCUUUUCUUUUGACAACAGUCCACUUACUGAGGUGACUGAUUGAAAUUUAAUUGACCAAUCAGGCCUAAAAGAUUCCGCUCUUCCAAAAGAUAAUACAACAUCUAUGAUGUAACACAGGCAUAUUAAAAAAAAUCAACAAAGAAGUAACAGACGAAUGAAGCCAACCUGCUGAAUGGAGGAAGGCUGAUCAAUAUUGUACAUAGCGUAUUUUCUAAAAAACAAAACAAAACAAAAACAAAAAAUUAAAACAAACAAACAAAAAAAAAAAACAGCUGGGCGAAAGGGUGACAACGCUACCAUUCCAAAGAUCUUUAGAGGCUACAAUAUAGUAAUAUUUAACAUGAAGAAGUCAGAGAAAAAUCAUGCAGCUUCAUCUCUUGACACAACAGGUUAUAAAAUAUAAAUUGCUGCUCGUAACCAAACUUUAUCUCAGGAUAUUUGCAAAGUAGAUCUCGAGCCUUUGUUAGAAACAUUACCAUACUUCCCAUUCAAGGGCCAAAUGUCAGAAGUAAGCCCUUAACUCAGUCGGACUGUUCUAUUCCAACACCUCUGCUGAUGUUAAGUGAUUUUAUAAACCUUUAUAUUUGAGCCCUGACAAACCUCUUCUGGCCCUAGAUAACAAAUAAUUAUGCAAUGUGCCACUGCAGUGAUUGUAAUGUUUGCUGUUUGGCCCUUUUAAUGUUUGUUGCAUAAUACAGUAUCUACCUGUUCAUUAGUGCCAGCAAACAAUAGGAGAAGAGUGUUGUGUAAAAAAAUGGAAGUGGCAAUGAUUUUAUUUGACUUUCAUCAGUUUGUGCCUGCUCAAGACUCAAGACUUUGAAAGUAAUUUUCAUCCUGAUGAUGUCAGACCCCUGAUAGAUUAAAUUGUGAAAACCCUUAAUAAGUACAGUUGCAAUCUGUCUAUAUGUAUUGACUUUUUAGUUUCCGUUCUCCAUUAAACACAGCAGGCACCAUUCCACACACGUCACAGAUCAUAUCAAGAAGUAAAACAAUGAAACCCAUAUACAGUGCAGCGCUUACAUAAAGAAGCAUUAAAAUAUUUUUCCACCCUGUAAAAACUGUUAAUACGUUACAAAUACAUGGUCAAAAUGCACAUACAGUAGACAGCUCUGCUUCCUUAUCCCUUCCAGGAAAUCUGCUUGGCACGAUUGUCAUGAAAACAACAACAAAAGCUUCUGGAAUUUGACUAGUUUAGGGUUCACGAACAAAAACUUCAUAAGUAGAAAAUUGGACUGGCUUUGAUAUCAAAUUAUCAUGCUCAUAAGGAGGUGAGGUCAGUGAAAGCAAUGCAGGCUACAGGUUAGGUACUCAAAAUUUAAGGCUACUAAUAACAAGGAUUAUUAUGCAGAAUAUCAGAGCUAAAUCUAUGAGAACAGACGGGAGCUGCAGAUGAUGAGCUACUGUUUAGCUUAGAUUAGCUACUGUUGUUAACUAUUGACCAAGUUUUUUGGUAACUGUAGCCACACUUCUCAUGAAAUGCUACAUGAACACUGGUGAAUUACACCAGAAGGAGGGACAAAGUAAAAUGGCUUAUUGAUAACGUUGGAAUGGCUUUGCAUGAUAGCAAGUAAUCUGUUUAUAACUAAAUUAUUUUAUCUUUUUUUUAUUUACUGACAAACAUGAAGUAACUUUUUGUGAAAUAGUUCUACUGUGUACAAAAAAAAUAAUAAAAAAAAUAAAUAAA